rnacentral:rRNA from 1 species
AUACGUAUGUCACAAGCGUUAUCCGGAUUUAUUGGGCGUAAAGCGCGUCUAGGUGGUUAUGUAAGUCUGAUGUGAAAAUGCAGGGCUCAACUCUGUAUUGCGUUGGAAACUGUGUAACUAGAGUACUGGAGAGGUAAGCGGAACUACAAGUGUAGAGGUGAAAUUCGUAGAUAUUUGUAGGAAUGCCGAUGGGGAAGCCAGCUUACUGGACAGAUACUGACGCUGAAGCGCGAAAGCGUGGGUAGCAAACAGGAUUAGAUACCCUGGUAGUCCACGCCGUAAACGAUGAUUACUAGGUGUUGGGGGUCGAACCUCAGCGCCCAAGCAAACGCGAUAAGUAAUCCGCCUGGGGAGUACGUACGCAAGUAUGAA